GUGCGUAACACAUGCAAGUCGGACGGGGCUUAUGUUCUCGAGUGAUCGAGAGGAUGAGUCGAGUGGCGGACGGGUGAGUAACACGUGGAUAACCUACCCUGGUGUGGGGGAUACCCUGUAGAAAUACGGGCUAAUACCGCAUGAGGUCAUCUUUGGGGAACCGAGGAUGAAGAAAGCCGAAAGGCGCAGCAGGAGGGGUCCGCGCCCGAUUAGCUAGUUGGUGAGGUAAGAGCUCACCAAGGCGACGAUCGGUAGCUGGUCUGAGAGGAUGAUCAGCCACACUGGGAUUGAGAACGGCCCAG
rnacentral:rRNA from 1 species